rnacentral:lncRNA from 1 species
AUGGCAGCUCCGAGACUGAGCGGCGGCUGCGGCUCCGGGGGCAGCAGCGGCAGCCUCACCCCGGGACCUGUAGGAUCCCUGAAGCCAGGCCACCCAGCCAUCAGCAGCAUGCAGGGUAAACGCAAAGCACUGAAGUUGAAUUUUGCAAAUCCACCUUUCAAAUCUACAGCAAGGUUUACUCUGAAUCCCAAUCCUACAGGAGUUCAAAACCCACACAUAGAGAGACUGAGAUCACACAGCAUUGAGUCAUCAGGAAAACUGAAGAUCUCCCCUGAACAACACUGGGAUUUCACUGCAGAGGACUUGAAAGACCUUGGAGAAAUUGGAUGAGGAGUUUAUGGUUCUGCCAACAAAAUGGUCCACAAACCAAGUGGGCAAAUAAUGGCAGUUAAAAGAAUUCGGUCAACAGUGAAUGAAAAAGAACAAAAACAACCUCUUACGGAUUUGGAUGAAGUAAUGCAGAGUAGUGAUUGCCCUUACAUUGUUCAGUUUUAUGAUGCACUCUACAGACAGGGUGACUGUUGGACCUGUAUGGAACUCAUGUCUAUCUCGUUUGAUAAGUUUUACAAAUAUGUGUAUAGUGUAUUAGAUGAUGUUAUUCCAGAAGAAAUUUUAGGCAGAAUCACUUUAGCAUCUGUGAAAGCAUUAAAUCACUUAAAAGAAAACUUGAAAAUUAUUCACAGAGAUAUCAAACCUUCCAAUAUUCUUCUGGACAGAAGUGAAAAUAUUAAACUCUGUGACUUUGGCAUCAGUGGGCAGCUUGUGGACUCUAUUGCCAAGACAGAAGAUGCUGGCUGUAGGCCAUACAUGGCACCUGAAAGAAUAGACCCAAGUGCAUCAUGACAAGCAUAUGAUGUCUGCUCUGAUGUCUGGAGUUUGGGGAUCACAUUGUGUGAGUUGGCCACGGGCUGAUUUCCUUAUCCAAAGUGGAAUAGUGUAUUUGAUCAACUAACACAAGUCGUGAAAGGAGAUCCUCCGCAGCUGAGUAAUUCUGAGGAAAACGAAUUCUCCCCAAGUUUCAUCAACUUUGUCAACUUGUGCCUUACGAAGGAUGAAUCCAAAAGACCACAGCAUAAAGAGCUUCUGAAACAUCUUUUUAUUUUGAUUUAUGAAGAACGUACCAUUGAAGUCGCAUGCUAUGUUUUGUCAAAUCCUGGAUCAAAUGCCAGCUACUCCCAGCUUUCCCAUGUAUGUU